CUAAGAUGCUGCAACUAUUUUGUUUCUAGGACUUCAGGUAACAAUGAGUUACAUAUCUGUCACCCUCUCUUGUCUCAGUAGGUGGCAAAUUUGAGACACAAAGAGAAAAUGUGACUCAUACAGGGAAGACCAUAGAUGAACUGUUAAAUAAAGGGCUGAAGUAGGAAAUUAUUAACUCCAUCAUUAUUAGAAGGUGAUUGGUCAAAAGAAGGAUGUAGAUUAAUUUGAGCAAAACUCUAUCUAAUUUGGUGGCUCCUGUCACUUUUCUAUUCUGCUUCCCACUGUUGAAUGAUUUUUGCACUGGGACAGGCAGGACAGAUGCUACCUAGAAAGGAGAAGCCGUGUGACUUGGGACCGUCAGAGCAGACACCUCCUGUCGACCCCCCGGAGACCUGCCUUACCUGGAGAUUGCACAGGAUCUCUACAGCUGUAUAAAUGGAAGACCAAAACACACCUAAAGACUUUGUCACGGAAGAUUUUCACCACCAGUCAGGGGCUGAGGCCUGAAAUUCUUCCAACACAGAUUCAGCUUUUGGAAUAAAAUGCCAUCUCCCUUGUGACAGAUCUUGUGAGCUCCCCGCUCAACAUCCACCCCCUUUCCCUCGCUAACUUUGCCUUUUACCAGAUAAAACACAGGAUGUCUGGUUAAAUUUGAAUAUCAAAUAAACAAUGGAUAAUUGUGGGUAUAAAUAUGUCCAAAAUAUGACAUACUUAAAUGGAAAAGAAGUAAUACAGUCCCUAAUUUUCCCAGACUUCCUUGCAGUGGGAGCGUCCGUGUGACCAGUUCAGGCCAUUGAGACACGAAGGGAUGUCUAUCACAUGUGUCGGGUGCAGCCUGCAAGCCUCCUUUUUCCGGCAAGAGCCACGACUAGUGUUGCCAUCUCUUCCGUGUCCCUCCUUGUUGCCUAGAAUGUGGGUGUGACACUGAGGUGCAGCAGCCCCUCCUGGUUAUGAGGGCAUGCCAAGACGCUGCAGAGACCUGGUGCUGGUGUGGUUAAGUCCUCCAGCCAGCAGCUGCUGCCUCUGGAGGUCUCGUUUGUGAAAACAAAGCAAAGCAAAGGAAAGCAAACCCCAAAGCAAAAUGCUUAGGUGUACAAACCACAUAUUUUCUGUGACUGAAAAUGGCUG